UGUAUACAUAUAAAUAUUAUCAAUGAUUUUACUAUAAUAAGCCUGUUUAGGUACGUAGGAUUGAAAUUUGAUCAAAUCAAUGAGCACAUUCAGAAAUUAACAAAAAGUAAUCAAUGUAUACUAAAGCGGACUUGGGAACAUCCAGUAUUACCUUUACAAUCUAAAUAUACAAGAACUUCGGAAAGCGGACACAUCAUAUGGAUUGUAAUACAUCUUUAUUCAGAGUUACGUAAAAUAUGCCGCAUAAUAAAUUCAAUAUUUGGAGCACUAAUGACUUUGGAAAUGGGAUGUUUCUUCGCUUGCAUAGCGUUGGUUUUUAUGAAAUCUUUAAUAUAAUAUUUAUCAACGAUUAUAACUAUAAUCAUAAAACUCUUUACAUCGUUACAAUCCUAACACACCUUUUCAUAGAUGUUUUGAGACUGUUUUUCACUAAUUAUGAAUGUGAAAGAAUUAGC